AGAAAUUGGCUGAAGCUUUCUGAGUUCGUUCUAUCCAAAAAAUGGGAAUCAAGGGUUUAAUGAAGCUGUUGGCUGACAAUGCUCCAAGUGGAAUGAAGGAGCAGAAGUUCGAGAGCUAUUUCGGCCGUAAAAUAGCCAUCGACGCUAGUAUGAGCAUUUAUCAGUUCCUGAUUGUAGUAGGACGAAGCGGUACGGAAAUGCUCACUAACGAAGCUGGGGAAACUACUAGUCAUUUGGUCGGGAUGUUUUCGCGGACGAUUAGGCUUUUGGAAGCUGGAAUCAAGCCAGUUUAUGUUUUUGAUGGCAAGCCCCCUGAUUUGAAGAAACAAGAACUUGCAAAACGUUACUCUAGAAGGGAAGAUGCCACAGAUGACUUGGCUAAGGCUACAGAGAGUGGCAACAAGGAGGAUAUUGAGAAAUUCAGCAAGAGAACAGUAAAGGUUACAUCACAACACAAUGAUGACUGCAAAAAACUUCUCAGACUAAUGGGGGUACCUGCUGUUGAGGCUCCUUCUGAAGCUAAGGCUACAGAGAGUGG
rnacentral:misc_RNA from 1 species